GAGCUAUCCGUUGGUCUUAGGAACCAAAAAAUUGGUGCAACUCCAAAUAAAAGUA
rnacentral:tRNA from 2 species